rnacentral:rRNA from 1 species
AGCGAACGCUGGCGGCAGGCUUAACACAUGCAAGUCGAGCGCCCGUAGCAAUACGGGAGCGGCAGACGGGAGAGUAACACGUGGGAACAUGCCCUUCGGUUCGGAAUAACUCAGGGAAACUUGAGCUAAUACCGGAUACGUCCGUAAGGAGAAAGAUUUAUCGCCGAAGGAUUGGCCCGCGUCCGAUUAGCUUGUUGGUGAGGUAACGGCUCACCAAGGCGACGAUCGGUAGCNGGUCUGAGAGGAUGAUCAGCCUCACUGGGACUGAGACACGGCCCAGACUCCUACGGGAGGCAGCAGUGGGGAAUAUUGGACAAUGGGCGAAAGCCUGAUCCAGCCAUGCCGCGUGGGUGAUGAAGGCCUUAGGGUUGUAAAGCCCUCUCGGCGGGGAAGAUAAUGACGGUACCCGCAGAAGAACGCCCCGGCUAACUUCGUGCCAG